UACAGAGGUCCCAAGCGUUGUUCGGAUUCACUGGGCGUAAAGGGUGCGUAGGCGGUGAGGUAAGUCGGAUGUGAAAGCUCGGAGCUCAACUCCGAAAUGGCAUUGGAAACUACCUUGCUCGAGGGUUGGAGGGGGGACUGGAAUACUUGGUGUAGCAGUGAAAUGCGUAGAUAUCAAAGUGGAACACCAGUGGCGAAGGCGAGUCCCUGGACAUUUCCUGACACUGAGGCACGAAAGCUAGGGGAGCAAACAGG
rnacentral:rRNA from 1 species